GCCAGUACGAGGCACAGUGGAAGGAUGACCUUUCAAUGUUCAUAAACAUUGAAGCCGCCCGAGUAAUAUCAUCGGCGUUUAAAUCGUCGAUGGAGAUUCCAUUGUUUCAAUGGAGUCAAAUAUCUAAGCAUCCUGAAUGGAUGCCUCAAAUCAAUGCAUGGUUUAACAGGUUUGAGUACAAAUUCUGCUAGGACAUUA